rnacentral:lncRNA from 12 species
AUCUGUUGAGUAGGUAAAGAAAAUAUUGUCAAUUAAAAUGCUUUUCAUAUUUCUCUUGAUUAAAAAAAUUCCCAGUGAAUGAAGGGAGUUGGGACUGAGCCCAGGUUACACAGCUGGUGAAGAAGGAAGGUUAAGUAGGGUUGAGGGGAAACAAAGAAGACAUAAUGGGAACAUGGGGUACCAGGCUAGGUAGGUAGCUCUCUUUGGGUGGCAGGAAACAGAGACUGCCUGGCUAGCCCACGACAAAGGUGAAGGUAGAGGGGCCUGAGGAACCCGGCACCUGACAGUAUUCCCUUUUGAAUGAGCCAGAUGAUGUGAGCAGAAUAAUUCCCAGGCUCAGCGCCUCUCCCUUACCUGUUCAGAGUCCUCGGAGGCAACACCUGACUGGCCAGGUCUCCUGGGGGCACCUGGCUCAUUCAUAAGGGGGCUCUGGCUAUGGUUUAGGUCUAAGCCCUGUGGUAUCUGAGGAGCCUAUUCCAGAGACAGGAGGAGAGGCAGAAACAUUCAAAGAGGAUUCUGUUUAUGCAGAGACCUCAGGAAUGGAACAGCAUCCUUCUGGAGAUCACAGAGGAGGGCUGAAUCCACAGCCAGGUAAAGGGUCCAAAUGAAGGGAGCGUCAGCAAGUCCAGUGGUGUCUUCUUGGACCACAAGCAGACAAGUGGCGGAAGCUCACAGGUACUGAUGUUC